rnacentral:misc_RNA from 1 species
GAUGAAGAACGCAGCGAAAUGCGAUAAGUAAUGUGAAUUGCAGAAUUCAGUGAAUCAUCGAAUCUUUGAACGCACCUUGCACCCUUUGGUAUUCCGAAGGGUAUGCUCGUUUGAGUGUCAUUGUACUCUCACACUUCUAAUUCCUUUCGGGAUUGGGAGCGGUGGACUUGGGUGUUGCUGCUUUAGUUGUGGCUCACCUCAAAUAAGUUAGUGCAACUCUUGGUUGGACAUAGUACGGCGUGAUAAGUGUCUUCGCCGGCGCCUCUGUAAGGAGGGUGGCCGAUCGGGAGCUCAGUGCUUCAAACCGUCUUCGGACAAUCUUUGACAACUUGACCUCAAAUCGAGUAGGACUACCCGCUGAACUUAAGCAUAUCAAUAAGCGGAGGA